UAGGGAAUCUUCCACAAUGGACGCAAGUCUGAUGGAGCAACGCCGCGUGAGUGAAGAAGGUUUUCGGACCGUAAAGCUCUGUUGUUGGUGAAGAAGGAUAGAGGUAGUAACUGGCCUUUAUUUGACGGUAAUCAACCAGAAAGUCACGGCUAACUACGUGCCAGCAGCCGCGGUAAUACGUAGGUGGCAAGCGUUGUCCGGAUUUAUUGGGCGUAAAGCGAGCGCAGGCGGAAGAAUAAGUCUGAUGUGAAAGCCCUCGCUUAACCGAGGAAUUGCAUCGGAAACUGUUUUCUUGAGUGCAGAAGAGGAGAGUAGAACUCCAUGUGUAGCGGUGGAAUGCGUAGAUAUAUGGAAGAAUACCAGUGGCGAAGGCGGCUCUCUGGUCUGCAACUGACGCUGAGGCUCGAAAGCAUGGGUAGCGAACAGGAUUAGAUACCCUGGUAGUCCAUGCCGUAAACGAUGAGUGCUAAGUGUUGGGAGGCUUCCGCCUCUCAGUGCUGCAGCUAACGCAUUAAGCACUCCGCCUGGGGGAAGUACGACCGCAAGGUUGAAAC
rnacentral:rRNA from 1 species